GAUGAACGCUGGCGGCGUGCCUAAUACAUGCAAGUCGAGCGAACGGACGAGAAGCUUGCUUUUCUGAUGUUAGCGGCGGACGGGUGAGUAACACGUGGACAACCUACCUAUAAGACUGGGAUAACUUCGGGAAACCGGAGCUAAUACCGGAUAAUAUUUUGAACCGCAUGGUUCAAAAGUGAAAGACGGUCUUGCUGUCACUUAUAGAUGGAUCCGCGCUGCAUUAGCUAGUUGGUAAGGUAACGGCUUACCAAGGCAACGAUGCAUAGCCGACCUGAGAGGGUGAUCGGCCACACUGGAACUGAGACACGGUCCAGACUCCUACGGGAGGCAGCAGUAGGGAAUCUUCCGCAAUGGGCGAAAGCCUGACGGAGCAACGCCGCGUGAGUGAUGAAGGUCUUCGGAUCGUAAAACUCUGUUAUUAGGGAAGAACAUAUGUGUAAGUAACUGUGCACAUCCUGACGGUACCUAAUCAGAAAGCCACGGCUAACUACGUG
rnacentral:rRNA from 1 species